GACAGCUCAGUUGGCAGAGCAGGAGACGCUUAAUCUCAGGGUUGUGGGUUCAAGUCCCACGUUGGGCG